AUUGAACGCUGGCGGCAGGCCUAACACAUGCAAGUCGAGCGGAUGAAGGGAGCUUUCUCCUGGAUUCAGCGGCGGACGGGUGAGUAAUUCCUAGGAAUCUGCCUGGUAUUGGGGGAUAACGUCCGGAAACGGGCGCUAAUACCGCAUACGUCCUGAGAGAGAAAGGGGUGGAUCUUCAGACCUCACGCUAUCAGAUGACCCUAGGUCGGAUUAGCUAGUUGGUGGGGUAAAGGCCUACCAAGGCGACGAUCCGUAACUGGUCUGAGAGGAUGAUCAGUCACACUGGAACUGAGACACGGUCCAGACUCCUACGGGAGGCAGCAGUGGGGAAUAUUGGACAAUGGGCGAAAGCCUGAUCGAGCAACGCCGCGUGUGUGAAGAAGGUCUUCGGAUUGUAAAGCACUUUAAGUUGGGAGGAAGGGAAGUAAGUUAAUACAUUGAUGUUUUGACGUUACCAAAAGAAUAAGCCCCGGCUAACUUCGUG
rnacentral:rRNA from 1 species